rnacentral:rRNA from 1 species
GAUGAACGCUGGCGGCGUGCCUAAUACAUGCAAGUAGAACGCUGAAGGAGGAGCUUGCUCUUCUGGAUGAGUUGCGAACGGGUGAGUAACGCGUAGGUAACCUGCCUGGUAGCGGGGGAUAACUAUUGGAAACGAUAGCUAAUACCGCAUGACAACAGUUAUUGCAUGAUAACUGUUUAAACGGGGAACCUUCCCCGCUUCAAUGUGCCCCUGGUGUGUUUUCUAGGUUGGGGGGGAAAGGGUCACCCAAGGGGAGAUACAUAUCCCGCCUGGGAGGGUGAUCGGCCAAACUGGGACUGAGACAAGGCCCAGAAUCCUACGGGAGGCAGCAGUAGGGAAUCUUCGGCAAUGGACGGAAGGCUGACCGAGGAACGCCGGGUGAGUGAAGAAGGGUUUCGGAUCGUAAAGCUCUGUUGUAAGAGAAGAACGAGUGGGAGAGUGAAAAGUUCACGCUGUGACGGUAUCUAACCAGAAAGGGACGGCUAACUACGUG